GGAAAUUUGAUUUAUUAAAUUAUAGUUUAUACACAAUACAAUGUAUCUGUUAUCAAUAAUUUCAGCAGGCAGGUAUCUAGUCUAUUCUUAGGAAAUUACAUAACAUCUAUUUUUAGCUUAGUAGGAAUAGUGCCCUAGAGGGGGGUUAGAGUAUUGUUGAUGAAUUGAGAGGAAGCAUCGUUGUAUUUGAUGCAAUUACAAUCAGUUACUUUCAUUUUAUGAACUCAUUUCAUUUGGCUUUUAAUUCCAGGGGAAUCAUACUCCCCCAAUUCAAUAAUACAUCAGAUAGGUAAUUCCUGUCGAGGAACAAAUUGUAUUUUAAGUAGUAUUUUUACUACGCUGGGAUCGCCCAGGAGCAAUUAGGUUCAUUCCUGGGGAUCGCCCCAGGAAUUAGGUUCAUUCCUGUCGAGGAACAAAUAGGUUCAUUCUGGGAUCGCCCAGGACUAGGUUCAUUCCUGGGGUCGCCUCAGGAAUUAGGUCCAUUCCUGUCGAGGAAAAUAGGUUCAUUCCUGGGGAUCGCCCCAGGAACUAGGUUCAUUCCUAGGGAUCACCCCAGGAAAUAGGUUCAUUCCUGCCGAGGAACAAAUAGGUUCAUUCCUGGGGAUCGCCACAGGAACAUUUUUUACUAAUCGCUUAUUUUUAUUUUUUUCAUAUUUUGAUAAGUUUUGAAUUUAUUUUCUCAUAUUUUGAAUAGUUUGAAAUGUUUAUUUCAAUUCUCUUAAGUGAAUGAGUAGCCCCCAGAAAGCCAAUAAUGUAUUAUAUAGUUUGUCAUACAAUGUAGAAAGAUAUGUACUGUUAUGAUACAGUUUAUUUAGUUGUAGUUUUAGUAUGUUUUGAUAUUUUAUUAAUAAACAUAAAUCUUAAAUUGUGUUGUGUAUAAAGUACAA
rnacentral:lncRNA from 1 species